AAGGGCAAAAGGAGGCAGGAAAAAGGAGGCACUGGGGAACAGGACAUAUGAGCAGAAAAAGAAUACAAAAGAGUGGGGAGAAAUGAAAUGAAAGGAAUAGGUGGAUGAAAAACAGAGAGGGACAGGGGCCAUUCACAGAGACUGCAGGGAGGGAAGAAGCCGUGGAAGCUACAGGAACAAAACAGAAGAUGCUGACAAGAAAAGAAUACAGAAAAACAACAGAA